CCCCCUUCUCCUUUUUCUUUUUUCUUUUCUCGAGUGAGGGUUUUCCCUCUGCUCUUAGUAGGGUCGCAGGAGCAUGGAGGGGCCGCUGAGAAGGUUCCCUUUUUCUUAUCUGGUCUCGAAUGAUCAGACCUUAGUCGGUGUCAGGACGAUGUUCUUUCCCUAUUUCUGAUGCGAUCGAUCUCAGCUCAGAUUAGGAUGAGAUUCUUCCCCCACUCCUA
rnacentral:lncRNA from 1 species